rnacentral:rRNA from 1 species
UACGGGGGGGGCAAGCGUUGUUCGGAAUUACUGGGCGUAAAGGGCUCGUAGGUGGCCAACUAAGUCAGACGUGAAAUCCCCAGGCUCAACUUGGGAACUGCGUCUGAUACUGGAUGGCUUGAAUUCGGGAGAGGGAUGCAGAAUUCCAGGUGUAGCGGUGAAAUGCGUAGAGAUCGGGAGGAACACCAGAGGCGAAAGCGGCGACCUGGAUAGGUACUGACACUCAACUGCGAAAGCGUGGGGAGCAAACAGG